AAUAAAGGCCGAACCUUUGUGUCAAAGCCUUAUCGCGUCAGAUUUUAGAAGCUAACCAAAGCUGGGCCUGGUUAGUACUGGGAUGGGAGACUUCUGGAAAUACUAGUGUCA
rnacentral:rRNA from 1 species